GUUCCCUGCAUACACGGAUGCUGAGGCGCAGUGUCCCCCUGCAUACACGGAUGCUGAGGCGCAGUGUCCCCCUGCAUACACAGAUGCUGAGACGCAGUGUCCCCCUGCAUACACGGAUGCUGAGGCAGUGUCCCCCUGCAUACACAGAUGCUGAGGUGCAGUGUUCCCUGCAUACACGGAUGCUGAGGCAGUGUCCCCCUGCAUACACGGAUGCUGAGGCACAGUGUCCCCCUGCAUACACGGAUGCUGAGGCGCAGUGUCCCCCUGCAUACACGGAUGCUGAGGCGCAGUGUCCCCUGCAUACACGGAUGCUGAGGUGCAGUGUUCCCUGCAUACACGGAUGCUGAGGCAGUGUCCCCCUGCAUACACGGAUGCUGAGGCAGUGUCCCCCUGCAUACACGGAUGCUGAGGCACAGUGUCCCCCUGCAUACACGGAUGCUGAGGUGCAAUGUUCCCUGCAUACACGGAUGCUGAGGUGCAAUGUUCCCUGCAUACACGGAUGCUGAGGCAGUGUCCCCCUGCAUACACAGAUGCUGAGGAGCAGUGUUCCCUGCAUACACGGAUGCUGAGGCGCAGUGUCCCCCUGCAUACACGGAUGCUGAGGCAGUGUCCCCCUGCAUACACGGAUGCUGAGGUGCAGUGUUCCCUGCAUACACGGAUGCUGAGGCAGUGUCCCCCUGCAUACACGGAUGCUGAGGCACAGUGUCCUAUGCUCAAUUUGGGAUAUCUUAGAUUUAUUAAGUAUGGUUCACCAUAGCACUACUGCCAGUCCCAAGCUUUGUGAAGCUUUCUGCAGUUACAGAGACUAUGCAUCAAACAGCAUGCCUUACAAUGUGUGAACUAAUGGCUGAUGUCAUUAAACAGCAGGAGUCCAAAAGGCCCAGUGACUGUGAUCAGUGACGGCGCUGGAAGGGCAGUGGCAUACUUGUUGGAGCUCUGCUCACACUGUAAAAUAGCACUUGCCUAUUCUUGAAGGCAUGGUUUUGCUUAUCCUGUAACUCACAGCCAAUUUUUCUUUUGUUUACCAUUCAUUUAAUGCCUAGAACUGUUCUUUCAAGACUGGUCUCUACCUAUAAGAACCAUUAGUAAACAACUGAUUAUUAAAUGUAAGUAUAUCAAUCUAGGGAAAUAAAAGCUGUUUAAUAGUAUCACUAAAUUGGGUCUUGAAAAUAAGAUAAUUUUGUAAAAGUUACAAGAGUACUAGAUAAGUGAUAGAUCUUUUCAGCCACCAGACCAGCACUAGGCUCAGAUGUUAGCCUGAGUCUGCAUUGAAUACUAAGGGUGCUAGUCAGGAAGAAUCUGCCACUGAAUGUCCUUGGUUGGGAGUUAGUGCAGAUUCAAGGGAGCAGUUCAGAAUGCUAGUUCCAUAACUAAACCAUUUUCCUAGAGCAGUUCUCUGUAUGUUGCUCAUGCACAUGAAGACAAAAAUUAAGUGAGCUGGGCAGCAGUGGCGCAUGCCUUUAAUCCCAGAACUUGGGAGGCAGAGGCAGGAGGAUUUCCGAGUUGAGGUCAGCCUGAUCUACAGAAUAAGCUACAGGACAGCCAGGGCUACACAGAGAAAUCCUGUCUCUGGGGGAAAAAAAAAAUAGUGACUUUGCUCUUACGAGUCCACUCCUAACAAGCACAGGCAGAUUAGACAGACGGGGUUGAAGGAAAUGUUAUUGCUCUGUGAGAGAACAAAAAAUUCACUCUCUCCAACCUUAAUAUCUCAAAAUAAGACCUUUCUAAAGUGAAAGCUUUUAAGUCAAGUGCUAUGGCACAUAUAUGCUUGUAGUCCCAAUUACCACUUGAGGGCCAAAUAGAGGAUUACUGGUGGUGUAUGCCUUUAAUCCCAGCACUUGGAAGGCAGAAGAAGCAGGUAGAUUUCUGAGUCUGAGGACAGCCAGGGCUAUACAGAGAAACUCUGCCUCAAAAAACAAAACAAAACAAAAAAGAAUUACUGGGAG